CGCGUAGGUGGUUCGAUAAGUCAGAGGUGAAAUCCCUCGGCUCAACCGAGGACCCGCGUCUGAUACUGUCGAACUUGAGUGCAGGAGAGGAGAGCGGAAUUCCGAGUGUAGCGGUGAAAUGCGUAGAUAUUCGGAGGAACACCGGUGGCGAAGGCGGCUCUCUGGACUGUCACUGACACUGAGGCGCGAAAGCUAGGGGAGCAAACGGGAUUAGAUACCCCGGUAGUCCUAGCCGUAAACGAUGGGCACUAGGUGUGGGAGGUAUUGACCCCUUCCGUGCCGCAGCUAACGCAUUAAGUGCCCCGCCUGGGGAGUACGGCCGCAAGGUUGAA
rnacentral:rRNA from 1 species